UACGUAGGGUCCGAGCGUUGUCCGGAUUUACUGGGCGUAAAGGGCUUGUAGGCGGUUCGUUAAGUCUGGUGUGAAAUCUCCCGGCUCAACCGGGAGAGGUCAUCGGAUACUGGCGGACUAGAGUCAGGUAGAGGAAAGCAGAAUUCCCAGUGUAGCGGUGAAAUGCGUAGAUAUCGGGAAGAAUACCAGUGGCGAAGGCGGCUUUCUGGGCCUGUUCUGACGCUGAGGAGCGAAAGCGUGGGGAGCAAACCGG
rnacentral:rRNA from 1 species